UCCGAAUUGGUGUAGUGGCUAACAUUUGACGCUCUCAAGAUUUCAAUAAAUCUAGGAACCGUCAAGCCCGGGGUUCGAUUCCCCGAUUCGGAG
rnacentral:tRNA from 1 species